UCCGUGUUCCACCAGGAGCCCUUGCCCUUUGCGGUCAGUGGAGAAGCCGGAUGUAGCCAGCUACCUGGUAGCCCAGAAGCCUUCUCAGGGUGCUCGCAAGACAGUUAGAAAAAAAACUUUGGAAACAAGCAAAAUACCAGCAAGUGAGACAGUACUGGUGUCCGUGUGUCCGUAGUCUCUGCAUCGUCGUGUCUGCUGCUGACCCAGUGGCCACAGGAAGUGAAAGGUCUGCGGGUGGAGACUGGAUGAGAAGACGACACAGGAGAAUUUUGAGCUGUAUUUGGGAAGCCCUUCACCGUUCUAAGAUUACAAAGCAUGAGAGUUACGAGGACCAAAAAGAUUUCAGCACCCACCAAAAGGAUAUAUUGGAGCCUUGACACCCCCUCCCUCCUCAGGAGCCCAAAAUGCGACCUUCUUUGGAAAGAGUCUCCUUACAGAAGUAACUGUGCUACAGUGAGGUCAUCUGGAUGGGUUAUACACACAGGUGAUAAGGGAGACAUCCAGGCAUAAGUGUCAAGAAGACAAUGUGAAAGGAGGUAUGGGGAAGACCACCUAUAGGACAAGGACAGACUCUCGUCCCACAGCCCUCAGAAUGAACAAACCUGCCAGUACCUUUGCACUUCAGACCCUGCACCCAUAGAUGUUAGUCCCUCGGCCUGCCUCUUUGUUACUGACUACCUCCAUGGACCACAACAGCCACCUCCAUCUACGUGGGGAGAGAAGCCUGCUGGCUGUUUUCACUGGCACCAUCCCCACUCAGAGGAAAAGGGAACAGUGGCCAGUUAGCCAUGUCUCCUAAGACGUGGCAGGGUGGCACUGAACUUGGAGUCGGCUGACCAGAGAUUUCAACCAGUCUCCAAUGUACUCCGCCUUAGUGAGUAUUGCAAGGAUUACAUGAAACUGUGAACUGCUAAGCCUGUAUGUAGGUGGGCUUCCAGGAGUCUAUGUCUGGGGGCUUAGGCUGAAAGGGAAGACAGAGAAGGCAUGGCCUCAGACACUCUUCUCCUCAGAUGAAGUGAUAGCUCCUUAAGUUUUUCAGGACUGUGGCUUGAAGCCAGGGCCUUGCACAUGCUACGUGAGUGCUUUAUCACUGGACUAUAUUUCAGUCUGACUCCUGAAUAUUGACUAAAUAUCAGCAACCCUUGCUGAACCCUUGGAGGCUUGCAGUGAUAAAAUUACAAGGUCUGCUCUUGCUAGUUCUGCUGAGCAUUACGAUCUUCCCUCUAAAUAUGCUUGACAAUAAUCGGUGGUGUGUUUCAAAAGAGUUAGUAGAGAUAAUCUUGAAUCUUCCUCAACUCAAGGCAAGGACGUAUGACUGAGAUGAUAGAAAGCCAGUGACUCUGAUCUGACCAGUUAAACUGCACACAUGUAUUAAAUGUCACUCUGUCCUCC